GAUGAACGCUGGCGGCGUGCCUAAUACAUGCAAGUCGAGCGAACGGACGAGAAGCUUGCUUCUCUGAUGUUAGCGGCGGACGGGUGAGUAACACGUGGAUAACCUACCUAUAAGACUGGGAUAACUUCGGGAAACCGUAGCUAAUACCGGAUAAUAUUUUGAACCGCAUUGUUCAAAAGUGAAAGACGGUCUUGCUGUCACUUAUAGAUGGAUCCGCGCUACAUUAGCUAGUUGGUAAGGUAACGGCUUACCAAGGCAACGAUGCAUAGCCGACCUGAGUGGGUGAUCGGCCACACUGGAACUGAGACACGGUCCAGACUCCUACGGGAGGCAGCAGUAGGGAAUCUUCCGCAAAGGACGAAAGCCUGACGGAGCAACGCCGCGUGAGUGAUGAUGGUCUUCGGAUCGUAAAACUAUGUUAUUAGGGAAGAACAUAUGUGUAAGUAACUGUGCACAUCUUGACGGUGCCUAAGCAGAAAGCCACGGCUAACUACGUG
rnacentral:rRNA from 1 species